rnacentral:rRNA from 1 species
GAUGAACGCUGGCGGCGUGCCUAAUACAUGCAAGUCGAGCGAACAGAUGAGGAGCUUGCUCCUCUGACGUUAGCGGCGGACGGGUGAGUAACACGUGGAUAACCUACCUAUAAGACUAGGAUAACUUCGGGAAACCGGAGCUAAUACCGGAUAAUAUAUUGAACCGCAUGGUUCAAUAGUGAAAGACGGUUUUGCUGUCACUUAUAGAUGGAUCCGCGCCGCAUUAGCUAGUUGGUAAGGUAACGGCUUACCAAGGCAACGAUGCGUAGCCGACCUGAGAGGGUGAUCGGCCACACUAGAACUGAGACACGGUCCAGACUCCUACGGGAGGCAGCAGUAGGGAAUCUUCCGCAAUGGGCGAAAGCCUGACGGAGCAACGCCGCGUGAGUGAUGAAGGUCUUCGGAUCGUAAAACUCUGUUAUUAGGGAAGAACAAAUGUGUAAGUAACUAUGCACGUCUUGACGGUACCUAAUCAGAAAGCCACGGCUAACUACGUG